GACAGAGGUGCCGAGCGUUAGGCGGAAUCACUGGGCUUAAAGCGUGUGUAGGCGGGCGGGCAAGUACCUUGUGAAAUCCCACGGCUCAACCGUGGAACGGCUGGGUAUACUGCCUGUCUUGAGCCAACUAGGGGCGAGCGGAACAGACGGUGGAGCGGUGAAAUGCGUAGAUAUCAGGAGGAACACCGGUGGUGUAGACGGCUCUCUGGACCGUAACUGACGCUGAGGCACGAAAGCGUGGGUAGCAAACAGG
rnacentral:rRNA from 1 species